rnacentral:rRNA from 1 species
UGGACCCGCAAUACGUCGACCCGGGGGAUUCAACCAGGCCGUGCGUUCGGGACGCGUGGGGGUUAUGCGGAGCUGUAAAGCCCGUGCCUCUGCGUCAGGUCUCCGGGCGGACUGGUGCACUUUCCUCGGGUUGAUUGCCACGACCGGCUCUCCGUGCGGCCACAAGCCUUUUGCUGGGAAGGUGACCGUCGGCCUCCGCGCCGGCGGUGUUAUAGACCAGCUUGUUCGUUGAGCUCGUCGGAGGGCCGAGGAAGUGUUGCCGUUUCUCAGCCACCCUCCGGCCAUCCUUGCUCGUCACGACUGGGGUGAACUGCUUCGUCAGUGCUCUCCCGACCGCGAGCGUAGGAAGGGCUGGUACGGUGCGAGAAAGCUUCGGGCCAGUGGCGAAUCGGUCGGUCCUCCACCC